ACAGUGUUGUCCCAGAAGUCACCCAGAGCAGAAAACUUGGACCAAUGAAGACCAAUGAGCUAUUUUUUAGCAGGAAAAAGAAAUGAAGGUAUGUGCUUCUAUUCCAGGCAUUCUGAGCCAAUUCUGCAAAUCAAACUUCUUGGAAGACUCAAAUGUUUUAACAGUCUUCAAACAUAUGACAUCAAGCAUACCAUUUUCCUUUAUCUACCAACUUUGUACUUUUACUGCAAAAAAGAAAGAGGUACUGAGUCCAUCUGGCAUGAUUUGCUUUGAAUAAAAGCCCAUCUG
rnacentral:lncRNA from 1 species